CGGGGUGCCGGGGGGGAUGUUGCGGGUGCUGUUGCUGCUGCUGUGGGGAAAGAGAGAGCCGCACCCCGGAAGAGCUGACUAUCCUUGGAGAGACCGAGGAUGAAGACGAUGAAAUUCUGCCCCGUAAAGACUAUGAGAGUUUGGAUUAUGAUCGGUGCCUCAACGAACCGUACUUGGAAGUCCUAGAAAGUCUCGAUAACAAGGUAAGAC